GCGCCCGUAGCUCAGUUAGGAUAGAGCGCUGGCCUGCGGAGCCAGAGGUCCUGGGUUCAAAUCCCAGCGGGCGCGCCA
rnacentral:tRNA from 1 species